rnacentral:ncRNA from 1 species
GUGUUGUAUGAAAGGAAAGAAAAUUAGUACUCUUCUUGAUAAGGCUGGAAGAGGUCCUAGUGCCUUUUACAACAUAUUUAGGUCAAAUCAAGUUAACAAAUAUUUAU